rnacentral:rRNA from 1 species
UACGUAGGGAGCAAGCGUUGUCCGGAAUCAUUGGGCGUAAAGCGCGCGUAGGCGGCCCUGUAAGUCCGUUGUGAAAGUCAAAGGCUCAACCUUUGAAAGCCGAUGGAUACUGCAGGGCUAGAGUCCGGAAGAGGCGAGUGGAAUUCCUGGUGUAGCGGUGGAAUGCGCAGAUAUCAGGAGGAACACCAAUAGCGAAGGCAGCUCGCUGGAACGGUACUGACGCUGAGGCGCGAAAGCGUGGGGAGCGAACAGG